rnacentral:lncRNA from 1 species
UUUUCGUCGAAGAAGUGUGACACCACCUCUCAAAGUUUGGAACUUUCUGCCACUAUCACCCCAUCACAAAGAAGCAAAAUGGAUAGCUUUAGGAGGAAGCACAUGACAUAUUCUUACUGCUAUGACCAGACCAGAUACAAAGUUCCACCUGUAGAGUGUGUGAUCAAUCCCCGUGAAGCCGAAAGACUGAAAAGGUUCGAUCCAGUCACGUUUGGAGGCAGGCGUCACCAUGGGAAGCGACACCACCGCAGCAGAGCAAGCCGGUCCGAAGCUGAUACCAUCUAAAAAAUAAUAGACCAUUGGUAGAUUUGAUUUCAUUACAUGUUGGGGCAUUAUUUCCUCUCGGUUUGAUUUAUAAAAUAGUUGGGGGUCAGUUUUGUGUAUAGAGAGAGAGG